rnacentral:rRNA from 1 species
CAGUCGCCGCGGUAAUACGGAGGGUGCAAGCGUUACUCGGAAUUACUGGGCGUAAAGCGUGCGUAGGUGGUGGUUUAAGUCCGUUGUGAAAGCCCUGGGCUCAACCUGGGAAUUGCAGUGGAUACUGGGUCACUAGAGUGUGGUAGAGGAUAGUGGAAUUUCCGGUGUAGCAGUGAAAUGCGUAGAGAUCGGAAGGAACAUCUGUGGCGAAGGCGACUAUCUGGGCCAACACUGACACUGAGGCACGAAAGCGUGGGGAGCAAACAGGAUUAGAUACCCCAGUAGUCCCUGUCUCUUAUAC